rnacentral:rRNA from 1 species
GACGAACGCUGGCGGCGUGCUUAACACAUGCAAGUCGAACGGUGAAGGGACUGGUUUUGCUGGUCCUGGAUGAGUGGCGAACGGGUGAGUAACACGUGAGUAACCUGCCCCCUUCUUCUGGAUAACCGCAUGAAAGUGUGGCUAAUACGGGAUAUUCUGGGUCUGUCGCAUGGUGGGCCUGGGAAAGAUUGCGCCUUUUUUGGUGUUUUUGGUGGGGGAUGGGCUCGCGGCCUAUCAGCUUGUUGGUGGGGUGAUGGCCUACCAAGGCGGUGACGGGUAGCCGGCCUGAGAGGGUGGACGGUCACACUGGGACUGGGACACGGCCCAGACUCCUACGGGAGGCAGCAGUGGGGAAUAUUGCACAAUGGGCGCAAGCCUGAUGCAGCGACGCCGCGUGAGGGAUGGAGGCCUUCGGGUUGUGAACCUCUUUCGCCAGUGAAGCAGGCCUGCCUCUUUUUGUGGGUGGGUUGACGGUAGCUGGAUAAGAAGCGCCGGCUAACUACGUG